AAUUUUCUCAAGGAGGAAUGGUGGGGAACAUCAUCUUUAUGGCAUGCUGGCUGUUCUAAAUGAUUGAAUUGUUGUCUGCCAUACAGUCAGUCCAUUGGAGUGUCGUAGCAGCUGUACGUGCAUGAGAUCUCAGUGCUGAUGUCAGUUACAAAUAAAGUAAAAAUGCUUCGGGGCUGGUGCUCUUCUCUACCUCUGGUUGGAACAGCGCCUUUUCUGGUAAAAGAGGGAGGUUCAUUACAGAGAGGGUGCUGGUACCAUGGGUUUUUUGGGUGCACGGUUCUAAACUAGUCCACUCCUGUACCCUUCUCCACUUAAAUACUAGA
rnacentral:misc_RNA from 1 species